UACGAAGGGGGGCUAGCGUUGCUCGGAAUACUGGGCGUAAAGCGCAUGCAGGUGGCUGAGUCAGUCGAUUGUGAAAGCCCUGGGCUUAACCUGGGAAUUGCAGUCGAUACUACUCAGCUAGAGUAUGGGAGAGGGCAGUGGAAUUCCCGGUGUAGCGGUGAAAUGCGUAGAAUAUCGGGAGGAACAUCAGUGGCGAAGGCGGUU
rnacentral:rRNA from 1 species